UAGGGAAUCUUCCACAAUGGACGCAAGUCUGAUGGAGCAACGCCGCGUGAGUGAAGAAGGUUUUCGGACCGUAAAGCUCUGUUGUUGGUGAAGAAGGAUAGAGGUAGUAACUGGCCUUUAUUUGACGGUAAUCAACCAGAAAGUCACGGCUAACUACGUGCCAGCAGCCGCGGUAAUACGUAGGUGGCAAGCGUUGUCCGGAUUUAUUGGGCGUAAAGCGAGCGCAGGCGGAAGAAUAAGUCUGAUGUGAAAGCCCUCGGCUUAACCGAGGAAUUGCAUCGGAAACUGUUUUUCUUGAGUGCAGAAGAGGAGAGUAGAACUCCAUGUGUAGCGGUGGAAUGCGUAGAUAUAUGGAAGAAUACCAGUGGCGAAGGCGGCUCUCUGGUCUGCAACUGACGCUGAGGCUCGAAAGCAUGGGUAGCGAACAGGAUUAGAUACCCUGGCAGUCCAUGCCGUAAACGAUGAGUGCUAAGUGUUGGGAGGCUUCCGCCUCUCAGUGCUGCAGCUAACGCAUUAAGCACUCCGCCUGGGGGAGUACGACCGCAAGGUUGAAAC
rnacentral:rRNA from 1 species